rnacentral:tRNA from 1 species
CUACCUCUGGUGUAAAAAGCAUUUAUGCCUUCCAAGCAUAAGGUCCUUUUAGUUGAGGGGGGUGGU